rnacentral:tRNA from 1 species
UGGCUCAGUUGGUAGAGCAUGGCGCUUGCAAAGCCAGGGUUGUGGGUUUGAUUCCCGC